rnacentral:rRNA from 1 species
UACGUAGGGACCGAGCGUUGUCCGGAAUCAUUGGGCGUAAAGAGCGUGUAGGCGGCCACUUAAGUCCUGCGUGAAAUCUUGCGGCUCAACCGCAAGCGGUCGUGGGAAACUGGGUGGCUAGAGUGCGGGAGAGGAGAGUGGAAUUCCUGGUGUAGCGGUGGAAUGCGCAGAUAUCAGGAAGAACACCGGUGGCGAAGGCGGCUCUCUGGGCCUUACCUGACGCUGAGGAGCGAAAGCGUGGGUAGCGAACAGG